AUUUAAUAGAACUAGCAGCACUUUUCCAUCCUGAGAUUCUCCCUGAAUUUCCCUGGGCUGCCUGGGAUUAGUGUUUGAAGGGCACCACGGCUUUCUGCAGACAGCUCGUUCCAGCGGAGACACAGAAUACCCACGAGAGAGGUAAGAGAAAUAAGCAAAGCCAACAGCCAGCCACGGUAAUUCUAUCUGCAAGAAGCACAAAGUGAAACCGCCACCCCCAGCCCGUCGCACACAAACACACACCUACCAAAAUAAGUGCAGCAUGAUACAGAGCUCAACCCUGAUGACGGUCAGAAUGUAUUGUAAAAGACAGCUGUUGGAUUGCAGCAUAGAAUAAGCGUGAGGAGAUGCUCCUGGUGAUGAAGAGGCCCAAAGGAAUCUUUACUCUUCUGCCUAUACAGAUAAAUCAUCUGCCCCCAGACUACUACCAUUCUCAGUAAGGACCUCGACGAAGAAGUGACCCUACCCCAGUUUGGGUAUUGUCCUGGGUGAGGACCCUGUUUCAUGUUUUGACCAUUAUUUCUGCCAAGGCUGCAUCAGAGACCAGGGUCUCCUCACUAGUCUUGUUUAAAACAGUACAGGAAAUCUAUCAUAUUUAAGGCAGGACAAGAAAACCCACUCUUUAUUCAUACCUCAGGAUCAGAAAGAAGUUUCACCUGAGAUCAGACCAUUCUUCUGCUAGGGCUGGGGCCUUGUCCAGCACGGGAAGCGGUGCUGGGCCAGGCAGUUCUGCUUGCGGCAGGUUGAGGUGAACACGACGCUGACUUACUACCUCCAAUUUAGCAGGAUUGCGCGCUCAAGAUUAUCACCUCAUCAAACCUGCCAUCCUCACACCCAGAGCCACCCCAUACCCUGAAAUAAAACCUGCCUGUCGUCAGGAAAUCCAGCCAGACCACAGGAUACUGACGGAAUGGCGGUAAGCAGUAGCUCCAUGGGGAGCCCGGUGGCACGUACACGUGUGCCACAGUGAAUGGCGAGAGCUGGCUCCCUCGCAAGCUAGUUAAGCAACCCGGCCCUUUCACUCAUGCCUAAACACGAUAAGGCUCCAGAAACCAGGCACAGAAAGACCUGCCUCCGGACUACCCCUCUCUUCCCAGAGGACGCCCAGCAGAUCAGGCUCUUGAGUCCCUGCAUAACUUCCAAGGACAAGACCCAGCCAUCCUGGGGACAAGGUCAUACAGAUAGAUGUGACAAGGAGAGCCGUGGCAUUUAACAGUCUGGGAAGCAACACUGAAGGAUUACAGGGAAACUCUCCAAGAACCCUGGCUUACCUGUGCUAUCUUACAGCGGGAGACUGGAGUAUCUGUCU